UACGGAAGGCAGCAGUGGGGAAUAUUGCACAAUGGGCGCAAGCCUGAUGCAGCCAUGCCGCGUGUAUGAAAAAGGCCUUCGGGUUGUAAAGUACUUUCAGUCGUGAGGAAGGUGUUAAGGUUAAUAACCUUAGCAAUUGACGUUAGCGACAGAAGAAGCACCGGCUAACUCCGUGCCAGCAGCCGCGGUAAUACGGAGGGUGCGAGCGUUAAUCGGAAUUACUGGGCGUAAAGGGCACGCAGGCGGUUAAUUAAGUUGGAUGUUGAAAUCCCCGGGCUUAACCUGGGAAUGGCAUUCAAGACUGGUUAGCUAGAGUCUUGUAGAGGGGGUAGAAUUCCAUGUGUAGCGGUGAAAUGCGUAGAGAUGUGGAGGAAUACCGGUGGCGAAGGCGGCCCCUGGACAAAGACUGACGCUCAUGUGCGAAAGCGUGGGGAGCAAACAGGGAUUAGAUACC
rnacentral:rRNA from 1 species